rnacentral:lncRNA from 1 species
AUUAUUGAGGUGAGCAAAUGAUGAAUGAAGCCUAAAAAAAUGAUACGGGAUAAUUUAUACGGUGCAUGUAAUGUGGGAUAUAAUUUUUCAUAUUAUAGGUCAGGGAGCUAAGUCAAGAUUGAUGGUGAUACUUUUUUUAAGAUGCGUUGGGCAUGAUUCAGGUGGAAAAUGGAUAGGUAAGGAUAAAUUAGUGACCAAGGCAUUACCACAAAUG